GUGGUAAGAACAGAGCGAACUAUUCUUUCGCCUUUUACUAAAAAAUACCGCGACAUAUUUUUCCAAGGUGUUUUUUUUUUUAAAAUUAAGGUCCGUUUAGUUC
rnacentral:snRNA from 1 species